AGUGAACGCUGGCGGUAGGCCUAACACAUGCAAGUCGAACGGCAGCACAGUAAGAGCUUGCUCUUACGGGUGGCGAGUGGCGGACGGGUGAGGAAUACAUCGGAAUCUACUUUUUCGUGGGGGAUAACGUAGGGAAACUUACGCUAAUGCCGCAUACGACCUACGGGUGAAAGCAGGGGAUCUUCGGACCUUGCGCGAUUGAAUGAGCCGAUGUCGGAUUAGCUAGUUGGCGGGGUAAAGGCCCACCAAGGCGACGAUCCGUAGCUGGUCUGAGAGGAUGAACAGCCACACUGGAACUGAGACACGGUCCAGACUCCUACUGGAGGCAGCAGUGGAGAAGAUUGGACAAUGGGCGCAAGCCUGAUCCAGCCAUACCGCGUGGGUGAAGAAGGCCUUCGGGUUGUAAAGCCCUUUUGUUGGGAAAGAAAAGCAGCAGGUUAAUACCCCGCUGUUCUGACGGUACCCAAAGAAUAAGCACCGGCUAACUUCGUG
rnacentral:rRNA from 1 species